GCUAAUACCACGUAGCGAAUAGANCUUGUGANUAAGCUAUUCGUGAUACGGCUAAGUUUCUGGCCUAUUAGCUAGUUGGUAGGGUAAAGGCCUACCAAGGCGAUGAUGGGUAACGGAGAAUCAGGGUUUGAUUCCGGAGAGGGAGCCUGAGAAAUAGCUACCACGUCUAAGGAUGGCAGCAGGCGCGAAACUUACCCAAUAUAGUAUGAUGAGGUAGUGAAGAGACAUGACUUUUGUAAUGAGUGGUGCGUAAAUAACACCACGAAUAACUGGAGGGCAAGUCUGGUGCCAGCAUCCGCGGUAAUA
rnacentral:rRNA from 1 species